rnacentral:rRNA from 1 species
GAUGAACGCUGGCGGCGUGCCUAAUACAUGCAAGUCGAGCGAACAGACGAGGAGCUUGCUCCUCUGACGUUAGCGGCGGACGGGUGAGUAACACGUGGAUAACCUACCUCUAAGACUGGGAUAACUUCGGGAAACCGGAGCUAAUACCGGAUCAUAUAUUGAACCGCAUGGUUCAAUAGUGAAAGACGGUUUUGCUGUCACUUAUAGAUGGAUCCGCGCCGCAUUAGCUAGUUGGUAAGGUAACGGCUUACCAAGGCAACGAUGCGUAGCCGACCUGAGAGGGUGAUCGGCCACACUGGAACUGAGACACGGUCCAGACUCCUACGGGAGGCAGCAGUAGGGAAUCUUCCGCAAUGGGCGAAAGCCUGACGGAGCAACGCCGCGUGAGUGAUGAAGGUCUUCGGAUCGUAAAACUCUGUUAUUAGGGAAGAACAAAUGUGUAAGUAACUAUGCACGUCUUGACGGUACCUAAUCAGAAAGCCACGGCUAACUACGUG